rnacentral:rRNA from 1 species
UAGGGAAUCUUCGGCAAUGGACGAAAGUCUGACCGAGCAACGCCGCGUGAGUGAAGAAGGUUUUCGGAUCGUAAAACUCUGUUGUUAGAGAAGAACAAGGACGUUAGUAACUGAACGUCCCCUGACGGUAUCUAACCAGAAAGCCACGGCUAACUACGUGCCAGCAGCCGCGGUAAUACGUAGGUGGCAAGCGUUGUCCGGAUUUGUUGGGCGUAAAGCGAGCGCAGGCGGUUUCUUAAGUCUGAUGUGAAAGCCCCCGGCUCAACCGGGAAGGGUCAUUGGAAACUGGGUGAAUUGAGUGCAGAAGAGGAGAGUGGAAUUGCAUGUGUAGCGGUGAAAUGCGUAGAUAUAUGGAGGAACACCAGUGGCGAAGGCGGCUCUCUGGUCUGUAACUGACGCUGAGGCUCGAAAGCGUGGGGAGCAAACAGG